AGUAAGUAGAUCAUAUGCAUUUAAGAUUAAGGUCAUUGAUUUAUUUUGGAAAAAAUGGAUGAAGAACUACUUUCCUACUCUAAUUGUACGCCAAAAGUGGCAUGUGAGUGUAAGAAAUGUUCGGAAGGGUGACAUUGUACUUGUUAAUGAUCAUAAUGUAUUAAGAGGAGAAUGGAAGUUAGCGGAAGUUGUAGAAGGUAUACCAGGAAGGGAUGGAAAGAUCAGAGAUGUGUUGUUGAGGUAUAAAAUUAAUGAACCAGGAAAACAGUACAGGGGCCAACAUGACAAGCAAAUGGUAAGAUCAGUACAUAGACUGGUGGUGUUGCUCCCAGUCGAUCAACAAUAGAAGUAUAGAAGCCUUUGAUUUGUGGUGGGGGGAGUGUAAUAUGAUUCUCAUCAUAUUAGAAUUAUAAUGUCAUUGUUGGCACCUUUGAAUGUGGAGCGGGCAGUGUGUGUCGCUGUCAUUGGUUGGAAAGAGGUGUAGACACGGGUUGUAUUCCAGUUACUGUAUAAUUGUUAUUGGCAUAUAUGACAAGAAUUGUAAUUAUUAUUGAGAUACAUAUAUUGUUUUCUUACUUAUUAACAAGUUUGGUAUUGGUUAGUAAUGUGUAUUUGUUUGUCAAGAGGAAGUUUUCUUUUAGGGUCUGUGUAUGUAACACGGAUAUAUAUUAUACCGCACUCAGGUUGUAGGGGUAAGGUAGGCAGAGGUACAGUUGGUGCCUGUCAGGGGUGAGUGGCGGUUGUUUGACUGAGCAUAGUUGGGGUAAUGCUGUAAUCAGACAUGUGGUGAAGUCUGCCUUGGCUGAUGAUGGGCGGUCAUUUUGUGAGUACUAUUUUAUAUGUAUCGUGUGUCAUUGCAAUAGUGAACAAUAGAAUGGGAUAUGUGUUCAUCUUAUGUUUAUUCUUCUGUUUACUGGGUGAAGUUACAAGAUAUUGAAGGGAGUUACAUGAUAUUGAGGUAUGCUGUGUUUAUGUUGACAUUAAAUUUGCAGGCUGAAUCAAUCAAUAAAUCAAGAUACAGCAAGUCA